rnacentral:rRNA from 1 species
GACGAACGCUGGCGACGUGCUUAACACAUGCAAGUCGAACGGAAAGGCCCUGCUUUUGUGGGGUGCUCGAGUGGCGAACGGGUGAGUAACACGUGAGUAACCUGCCCUUGACUUUGGGAUAACUUCAGGAAACUGGGGCUAAUACCGGAUAGGAGCUCCUGCUGCAUGGUGGGGGUUGGAAAGUUUCGGCGGUUGGGGAUGGACUCGCGGCUUAUCAGCUUGUUGGUGGGGUAGUGGCUUACCAGGGCUUUGACGGGUAGCCGGCCUGAGAGGGUGACCGGCCACAUUGGGACUGAGAUACGGCCCAGACUCCUACGGGAGGCAGCAGUGUGGAAUAUUGCACAAUGGGCGGAAGCCUGAUGCAGCAACGCCGCGUGCGGGAUGACGGCCUUCGGGUUGUAAACCGCUUUCGCCUGUGACGAAGCGUGAGUGACGGUAAUGGGUAAAGAAGCACCGGCUAACUACGUG